rnacentral:rRNA from 1 species
UACGUAGGGGGGCAAGCGUUGCGAACGAUUCGGUGGCGUAAAGCGCGCGUAGGCGGCCCGAUAAGUCUGCUGUGAAAGUCCAGGGCUCAACCCUGGAAUGCCGGUGGAUACUGUCGGGCUCGAGUCCGGAAGAGGCGAGUGGAAUUCCUGGUGUAGCGGUGAAAUGCGCAGAUAUCAGGAGGAAUACCAAUGGCGAAGGCAGCUCGCUGGGACGUGACUGACGCUGAGACGCGAAAGCGUGGGGAGCGAACAGG